rnacentral:lncRNA from 1 species
AUGCUGUUCAUUGGCCCAGGAUGGGUGCUGGUUGCUGGCCCAGGAUGGGUGUCGGUCAAUGGCUCAGGAUGGGUGCAGCUCAGUAGCCAAGGAUGGGUGCUGGUCACUGGCUCAGGAUGGGUGGUGGUCACUAGCCCAGGAUGGGUGCCGGUCGUUGCCCAAGGAUGGGUGCUGGUCAGUAGCCAAGGAUGGGUGCUGAUCUGUGGCCCAGGAUGGGUGCGGGUCAGUAGCCAUGGAUGGGUGCUGUUCAGUAGCCAAAGAUGGGUGCUGGUCACUGGCCCAGAAUGGGUGCUGUUCUUUGGCCCAGGAUGGGUGCUGUUCUUUGGCCCAGGAUGGGUGCGGGUCAGUAGCCAAGGAUGGGUGAUGGUCACUGACUCAGGAUGGGUGCAGCUCAGUAGCCAAGGAUGGGUGCUGGUCACUGGCCAAGGAUGGGUGCUGGUCACUAGCCCAGGAUGGGUGCUGGUCUUUGCCCAAGGAUGGGUGCUGUUCUUUGGCCGAGCAUGGGUGCUGGUUGCUGGCCCAGGAUGGGUGCUGGUCACUGGCUCAGUUUGGGUGCUGUUCUUUGGCCCAGCAUGGGUGCUGGUCGUUGCCCAAGGAUGGGUGCUGUUCUUUGGCCCAGGAUGGGUGUGGGUCAGUAGCCAAGGAUGGGUGAUGGUCACUGGCUCAGGAUGGGUGCUGGUUGGUGGCCCAGGAUGGGUGCUGUUCUUUGGCCCAGGAUGGGUCCUGGUCAGUAGCCAAGGAUGGGUGCUUGUCAGAAGCCAAGGAUGGGUGCUGUUCUUUGGCCCAGGAUGGGUGCUGUUUGCUGGCCCAGGAUGGGUGCUGGUCGUUGCGCAAGGAUGGGUGCAGUUCAGUAGCCAAGGAUGGGUGCUGGUCACUGGCUCAGGAUGGGUGCUGGUCAUUAGCCCAGGAUGGGUGCCGGUCAUUGCCCAAGGAUGGGUGCUGUUCUUCCGCCAAGGAUGGGUGCUGGUUGCUGGCCCAGGAUGGGUGUCGGUCAAUGGCUCAGGAUGGGUGCAGUUCAGUAGCCAAGGAUGGGUGCUGGUCACUAGCCCAGAAUGGGUGCUGUUCGUUGCCUAA